CUCGGGCAAGUUUACUUUUCCCUUUUUAAAUGCAGACGCGAGGGACGCCGGUCCACUGGUGAGGAUUCGUCACCGAUAACACACGGGUCGCUCCUCGCACGCACGCGUCCAACGGGGGAGAUAAGAUUAGCAAAGAGGGCAGCCGGUGGCCAACUGGCUCCUCAGCGGCCUCAGCCAACAAUCAGCCACGACUUAUUUCCGACACGCCGCUGUCUCACGGCGGCCAGCUUCGGCCGGCUAAUUUACUUCAUCAGUACCAAUGCAAGCGCAGGAACAGCUGGGCCGGCGCGUUUAGACAUUCAAAUCCGCUGUAAAAUAUGCAAAUGGUGGCUUUGGCGGCGAGCCGGGCCGCCGCAAGGCGGGAGCUGCGGGUGGUUCCCCUGCUACAUUCUGAGGCUGCUCUGUCCCCCCUGUCACAGAAUCCGCCUGCUGGUGCUGAUUUAUCAGAGAUCCUCCCACGUCCACGCUGAGUGACGUCCUUAAAGUGCUCAACGGGCCUAAACCGCUGCUUGAGUGAACCAGGCAAAGACCUUUCCUCUUCUUUAGCGGCGAUGCUAUCAGUGUUAAAACAGGCCAAGCUGGGAACCGUCAGACAGAGCUCAGGUACAUUCUUUGGCAC
ensembl:lncRNA